GGUCUGAGAGGAUGACCAGCCACACUGGAACUGAGACACGGUCCAGACUCCUACGGGAGGCAGCAGUGGGGAAUAUUGCACAAUGGGCGCAAGCCUGAUGCAGCCAUGCCGCGUGUAUGAAGAAGGCCUUCGGGUUGUAAAGUACUUUCAGCGGGGAGGAAGGCGAUAAGGUUAAUAACCUUGUCGAUUGACGUUACCCGCAGAAGAAGCACCGGCUAACUCCGUGCCAGCAGCCGCGGUAAUACGGAGGGUGCAAGCGUUAAUCGGAAUUACUGGGCGUAAAGCGCACGCAGGCGGUCUGUCAAGUCGGAUGUGAAAUCCCCGGGCUCAACCUGGGAACUGCAUUCGAAACUG
rnacentral:rRNA from 1 species